AAUGAACGAAAGUUUGACACAGCGACACCGCGUGUGGGAUGACGGAUCUAGGUUUGUAAACCACUUUCAGGAGGGAAGAAAAUGACGGUACCUCCACAAGAAGCCCCGGCCAACUACGUGCCAGCAGCCGCGGUAAUACGUAGGGGGCGAGCGUUGUCCGGAUUUAUUGGGCGUAAAGAGCUCGUAGGCGGUUCAACAAGUCGGUCGUGAAAGUUCAGGGCUCAACCCUGAAACGCGAUCGAUACUGUUGGACUAGGAUACGGUAGAGGUGAGUGGAAUUCCGAGUGUAGCGGUGAAAUGCGUAGAUAUUCGGAGGAACACCAAUUGCGAAGGCAGCUCACUGGACCGCUAUCGACGCUGAGGAGCGAAAGCUAGGGGAGCAAACAGGAUU
rnacentral:rRNA from 1 species